UACGUAGGGGGGCAAGCGUUGUCCGGAAUCAUUGGGCGUAAAGAGCGUGUAGGCGGUUUAGUAAGUCUGCUGUGAAAGUCCAGGGCUCAACCCUGGGAUGCCGGUGGAUACUGCUGGGCUAGAGUACGGAAGAGGCGAGUGGAAUUCCCGGUGUAGCGGUGAAAUGCGCAGAUAUCGGGAGGAACACCUAUUGCGAAGGCAGCUCGCUGGGACGUCACUGACGCUGAGACGCGAAAGCGUGGGGAGCAAACGGG
rnacentral:rRNA from 1 species